rnacentral:lncRNA from 10 species
GCUCCCAAACUGAUGGGGGAGAGAGACAUCAUCCCCCAGCUCUGGGAGUUUCCAGUCUGAUGGAGGAGACAGAGCCUGCUUCGGUAACUCUCACUCUGCGGGGGAAGACUCAGCCCUAUCCAGGGAGCUCCCACACUUUCAAUGGGGAGGCCCACCCAGAUCUGAAAAUGUCUAAUUUCAGGCUGGGCACAGUGGCUCACACCUGUAAUCCCAGCAUUUUGGGAGGCUGAGACAGGAAGAUGGCUUGAGAAGAAUUUGACCAGCCUCGGCAACUGUUAAGACCUCGUCUCUACAAUGAAAAAACAUUUUUUUUUCAUUAGUCUGGUGUGUGGUAGCACGUCUGUAGUCCUAUGUACGUGGGAGGCUGAGUCGGGAGGAUCCCUUGUGCCCAGGAGUUUGAAAUUACAGUGAGCUGUGAUGGCGUCACUACAUUCCAGCCUGGGUGACAGAGCAAGACCCUGUCUUUAAUAAUAAUAAUAAUAAAAUUACAAAUAACAAAAAU